GCCCCUUACGCAACAUUUCAACCGAGUAGUUGUGUAUUUGCCGAAUGCUAGCACCAGGUUUGCAAAGAUUUAUGCAUAACUUGUUUGUUUGAAGUAUAAGAUCAUAGAGCUCGUAUUGUGCUGAAGAAAAGCUACCACAUGGUGGCCAGGUACGAGUAAGAUCGCUAACAUAACCAUUCAACUCACAUCCAAUAUCCAUCAAAACAAGAUCACCAUCUCUAAUCUUUU
rnacentral:misc_RNA from 1 species